rnacentral:lncRNA from 7 species
AACAAAGGGUGGGGAACAGGUAUAUUGGAGAGGUUGCUGGGGAGUAUUUUUUUUUUCUUUUUUUCUUUCAGUUUAGAAAUAAUGUAAAGAUGAAGUUUGAGUCAGGAGAUAUUUCUGAAAUAGUAAUAGCUGUCUUCUAGAAAAUGUUUCCUUCUGUGCUGAGCUUUUCCUUCAGACUAAAGGGCUUAACUGUGGAAGACGGAAGAAGCUUUCAAAAGCAGAGCUUACAUGGCAUCAGGAUUUGUCACUGCUAUUCAAGAGCAACGGGAGUUCUGGAUGUUUUGUAAAGAUCACAGGCAAAAGUCCAGGUAGUGACAGCACUGUCCUCAGGUUACACGAAUAAAUGCUGCACGCUCACUUGGGAAAGGAGAAAGAUUUCUGUUUAUGAACAAAUUGUUACAGGCUUCACAUGCACAGAAAGAUGAUUACAUCACUAUUGCCAUUUGCAAUCAGCAGAGAACAGUCUCCAAAAAUCAUCUGAUCAUUUUGUGCCCUCUCAAAGAGUUUGCAAAGCCAUUUUGUUCAAUUCUAGUCUGAGUGUCCAGCCAGGGGUAGGACCUGGGCUCUCUGACCAAGCAGCAAACGCUUAGCAAGAUCAUUCUAAUGAGUAUCUUACUGCUGUGCCAGAUGCCUAUGGGUAUGACAUGGGAUGUGAUCUGUUGAGUAGUGGAACUCUCUGGAUAUUAUGUUUAUUGUUGCGACAGCGUCAAGAGGAUGCAGCAGGAGUCAGAGGCCCAAUAUCCUGAGUGCAAAGUAGGCUCUCAGUUUUACAGUGAAGAACUUCUUCAGCAGAAAUCUCCUUGUUCAUCAGCAGCCAUAAGCAAAGGAUCCACAGGCUAAGGAGAAAGCAGUAAAAAGCAUCUCUCCUUCUCCACUGAGAAAAAAAUUAAAUUUCACCAGUUCUCAAAACUGAGUUUGGGCUGGGAGAGACAAUUUUGUAAAGUGCCAGGGGAAAACACUUCCAUGGAGGGACAUAACUGAGAUAAUGUAAGAGUCUAGUAACUGAAUGAGGACAAAAAAAAUAUAUAUUCUCAUGCCAUAUUUGUUUUUUUCUUAAGCUAUAUUCAAGUAACUUUCAAGUAACUUUUUGCAAUCUACUGACUCUUACGGAUGUUUGUAUUUGAUACCAGAUAUAAGUAUAAAA